rnacentral:lncRNA from 1 species
AUGCUUUUAUGGUGAUUAUCUCACCAAUAUACUAUUCUAAAUAUUAGGUUUUAAUGCAGAUCUUGAUACAACUGGACAUAUCUUUGCUUUUAUCUUUCUUUGUUUUUGUUGGACAUGUGAGAUCUACUUUCCUAAGUGAGUUUUUUUCACGAACCGAGAAACAUAGACAGACAUUGUUAUAUAGAUAUACGUGCGUGCACGUACACAUUUACUAGU